rnacentral:misc_RNA from 1 species
CGGUCGUAGUAUGAAGAUGGAUCCUGAGUGUGGGAGGAGCACUGCUAAGAAGGAGUCAUGGAAGACCAUCAUGCUAUUGGCGUACCAGAGCCUUGGCGUUGUGUAUGGAGAUUUGGGCAUUUCUCCGUUGUAUGUGUUCAAGAGCACUUUUGCGGAGGAUAUCACUCAUUCGGAGACGAAUGAGGAGAUAUUUGGUGUGCUCUCCUUUGUUUUCUGGACUCUGACUCUGGUUCCCUUGUUCAAGUAUGUGUUCAUAGUCCUUAGAGCUGAUGAUAAUGGCGAGGGGGGUACUUUUGCGUUGUAUUCG